GAUGAACGCUGGCGGCGUGCCUAAUACAUGCAAGUCGAGCGAACAGAUGAGGAGCUUGCUCCUCUGACGUUAGCGGCGGACGGGUGAGUAACACGUGUAUAACCUACCUAUAAUACUGGGAUAACUUCGGGAAACCGGAGCUAAUACCGGAUAAUAUAUUGAACCGCAUGGUUCAAUAGUGAAAGACGGUUUUGCUGUCACUUAUAGAUGGAUCCGCGCCGCAUUAGCUAGUUGGUAGGGUAACGGCUUACCAAGGCGACGAUGCGUAGCCGAGGUGAGAGGGGGGUCGGCCGCACGGGAAGUGGGACGGGGUCAUGGGUCCUGCGGGAGGCAGCAGUAGGGAAUGUUCGGCAGUGGGGGGAAGCCUGACGGAGCGGGGCCGCGUGAGUGAUGGAGGUCUUCGGAGCGUGAUGCUGUGUUAUGGGGGAAGAACAAAUGUGUAAGGAGCUAUGCACGUCUUGACGGUAACUAAUCAGAAAGCAACGGCUAACUACGUG
rnacentral:rRNA from 1 species